GGAGAGAGGGCGCUCUGGAGCUGACGGUAUCUGGACUGAGAGCCACAGACACAGAUCUGUAUCGCUGUGACAUAGAGAUCUUCUACCCUCCACCGUACCUGCGGUUCACUGGAAACGGCACCCUCAUUCACAUCUUAGGCAGCUCUGACUGUCCGGCGCCGGAGGCUCAGAGACAGAUUUCAAACAAAGAAGAUGAAGGAGAGGAAGAUGAGGAUGAAGAGACGGCGGCACCAGUCAGUGUUGCUGUGAUCGUCCUGGUGAUACUGGUGCUGUUCGUCCUCAUAGUCAUUACGUACCUCCAGGCCUCACAGUGCGAUCGAGGGAGGAGGGAGAUUAUCAGACCGGUUCACACGGUGGACGCUGCUUUAUUUCCAUGUUACAACUCGGCAUGAAAAUCAGGAUUUGAUAGUCAAGUCGGGCCUAUUUCGUCCAUCUUUGCCUAGUAUCAUUAAAGUACCAUUGAUUUGAAUGGAGGAUAAAAGUAAAUAGGGUCGGUCGUUACCCUUUAUUAAAGAUCACCUCUGUUAUGAGUUUUUUUUUUUUACCGAAAGAAGAACAAAUAUCAGAAUUGCAUUUUGGUGUGUGUA